GCUCCCGCUGGCCGGCUUGGCGGCACUCCUCCGGGCGGCGGAAGAACCUCGGAGGCAGAAUCUCUCUCCCUGGAGCAAGAGCGCAGUUCAGCCCAGGCAGCGCAAGUCAAUUUGAAUUUUCUUAUCGCAAGAACAGAAUAUUUGUAAGGCGCGCACACGGCCGUGAUGACAUCAUGCAGUAACUCCUACCCUUCCUUCUCGCCACUAGUGCUGGGAAUUGUCCUUUCCUUCCAAGGAGGAAGAGGAAGGACGAGAGCAAGUGCCAAUCACAGCUGAGCACGGACGCUGUCCUCUUGACAGUGGCUUGGGGGUUAUCCUGAUGUCAGGGCUCUGACCCGCUGGGGAAGAAAGCCUCUGUUUCUUGCUUUACCACCUGUGAUUUGACCUUCCCUCCUUACCUGCUGUCCUAGGCACCUGCCUGCUUUGCCCAAGAGUAAAGCCUGGCUUGAGGAACAGCCUGCAAGAGCUAUUUUGUGUCAGCUGUACCGGGGGAUACCAGUUCCCCACUGGGAGAAACUGUGGAGCUGCUCAGGUAUCCACGUAUUUCACCAAAGUUUCCCCUCACCAACAUGUCUGCUGGCUUUAGGACAAAAAGUUGGGCUGGUUUUCCUCCUAGCGACUUGGAAAUUCUGUCGCAUUUUUCAUGUUUUUAAGUUGGUGGAGAAAACAUGGCAGGCGUUCUCCACACCAGUAGCGUCAACAGCAGUGAGCCCAGAGCACCGGAGAAAUGACUUGUUUCUUUCGCUACCAAAGAGCAUAGGAAGUGUGCAUGCGCCGUUUUGACAGCAAUCAAAAGGUUGGUAUCUGUUUUUCUUUGCAACGCAACGGCUUUUUUUUUGAAGCUACACAUUCAAGAAAAAGAAAUCUUACCUGCUAGCAAGGCUCUGCUGUAGGAAAGAUGAAAAAUGGGCAACAGAAACUUGUCGUAUUUAGGCGAAAGGAGAGACGUAUGACCAGCGAUGCACAAAGCAGAUUUUGAAGGCAGGCUGACCACUGAGCCUCAAAGGCGGCCAAACUGCUAUUGAAAGGAUGGUCAGGAGACCUGUCUGGAGAACUAUGGCUACCUGGAUGGAGUAGUCGUUAUGCCUUACACAUCUGUUUUAUUCUGACACACAACUUCCGUGUUCAUGGAAGAACUCUGUGUUCUGAUUUUCUGACAGCCCUCCUUUAUGUUCCUGGGAUAAAAAAAAAAAAAAGGAAAGCAGAAUUCAAGCAGUUUUCCGGGAAUCUAAUGAACUCGUAUUGGCCUAAACUGAGCAGGGGGCACCAUGCGCAUUUCCCACUGCAAACUGAGGAACGGGACUUGGGUAGCCAAUCCCACGGAUAAACUGAAACGCACUUUUGGAACAUCUUCCCUUCCUGUUUCCUAACCACUCGCCUGCGAUGGAGAGAGAGAAGUCUUUAAAAUCUUUGCUCUCUCGGGAGCCUUCACAGGCGGCUGUACAGUCAUCGUAGGCUUUGAAGAAAUCGGGAGGAGCCAGUUCCGUGCCCGAGAUGGACGUUCGCCAGUUGUCACCGUUGCACGCUCUCACGGCCCUGAGAAAGAGAUCCUGUAAAAUCGGCAGGAAUGAAAAGCAGCAGUAAGUGAUCUGUGGAAAGCUGUGUGCAAAAUCAAAUCCAGUAAAGGAUCUCUCUGCAUUUCCGGAUCCCGUCUGGAUAUAGAAGCUGUUAUCCAGUUCAUAUGAGGACAACAACUACAGGUGGCUGAUGGAUUUUACCAGGUAUUUCCGAGAGCGCAGAGGAGGUAAUUCCAUUUCAGCACAACAGAAGAGCCUGCUGGACCAAAGUAACAGCGGGAGCCUAAAGCACAGGUUUUGACAGGGCUUUUUAAUGGAGUCUUAACACCGCAUGUCCGAGUUCUUGUAAGUUGUGCCGCUACAGCACUCGUGCAUUUGAGUAACUCUGUGCACCUGCUUAGCUCCACUAGUUACCUGCAUGUAGUAGCUUUCAGGUAUGCCGCUGUCUGUGAUGUACUGUGACUCAUUUAUGGAACAGUGAAAAGCACGAGAGGUGAGAAUUCCUGAACGCAUCGAGGCGGCAGAACAGAGAUGACUGAGGAAGACAGCAAGAGGGAAAGGAGAGUGAGAACACGUAAGCAACUGAGAUCCUUGAAUCUCACAGAAGAGGAGGAGUAAGAGAACAGUUCCAAAAGACCAGACUCUGAAUAAAAAGCAUACCUCAUCAGGCUUUGUCUCCAAGUCUUUCGUAUGCUCCUGUUGUGGUUUAACCCCAGCCGGCAACUAAGCACCACGCAGCCGCUCGCUCACUCUCACUGCCCCCCCGGUGGGAGGGGGAAGAGCAUUGGAAGAGUAAAAGUGCGAAAAACCCGGGGGGUGAGAGGAAGACAGUUUAGUAGGUAAAGCAAAAGCCGCACGCGCAAGCAAAGCAAAGCAAAGCAAAGCAAGGAAUUGGUUCCCGACUUCCCAUGGGCAGGCAGGUGUUCAGGUGUUUUAUUUUUUUACUUCUGUGUGCAUGCAUUUCUAUUUUUUAUUUUAUAUAGAGACACACACGUAUUUUUAUAAACUACCUGGUAUAUAUACACCUAUUUGGGAAGAGUGAGAGAGAAAGAAAAAGUCUGAAGCACUUGUGAAAUGUUAAAACACAUGCCUAAGUAAACUCAGUGGCUACGAGAAAGCUCCCUCCAGAGGAGCAAGCGGCGGCACAGAAACAUCUACUCCCAGAACGCAAGAUGUAGCCAAAUUGCCCUGGGGAAGCCGCCUGAUAAGAGCUCAGAGCUGGACUGCCAUCUGCUAGGAAAGACUACACAAACAGCGGACACUAAAGGCAAACCCACCAAACUGCACCCCACAAACCUACUGCAAAGGGGAUUGAAAACCAGUGGAAAGGGAGAGGGAGGAGGGAUUUCUCCAGUUUCCCUCUCCCAUUCCUACCUGCCCGUUCCUUAAGUGUCUCCGAAACAGAGCAAUGGAGUCCCCAGACACAGCAGUGUUCAAUUCCAGCCAGCACUUAAAGCCAGAGACGCAAGUUCCUCCCUGAAGCGAUCCCAUGCCAUGAGGACAGCUGGCUUCCAAACACAACUCAUUGCUCAGGGAUAAAUACGUACCUAGUGCAAUCGCCAACUACUUGCGCUUAACGUUUUUUGCUCCAUCUCCUUUCUGCAGGAAGAACCUCGGAGGCAGAAUCUCUCUCCCUGGAGCAAGAGCGCAGUUCAGCCCAGGCAGCGCAAGUCAAUUUGAAUUUUCUUAUCGCAAGAACAGAAUAUUUGUAAGGCGCGCACACGGCCGUGAUGACAUCAUGCAGUAACUCCUACCCUUCCUUCUCGCCACUAGUGCUGGGAAUUGUCCUUUCCUUCCAAGGAGGAAGAGGAAGGACGAGAGCAAGUGCCAAUCACAGCUGAGCACGGACGCUGUCCUCUUGACAGUGGCUUGGGGGUUAUCCUGAUGUCAGGGCUCUGACCCGCUGGGGAAGAAAGCCUCUGUUUCUUGCUUUACCACCUGUGAUUUGACCUUCCCUCCUUACCUGCUGUCCUAGGCACCUGCCUGCUUUGCCCAAGAGUAAAGCCUGGCUUGAGGAACAGCCUGCAAGAGCUAUUUUGUGUCAGCUGUACCGGGGGAUACCAGUUCCCCACUGGGAGAAACUGUGGAGCUGCUCAGGUAUCCACGUAUUUCACCAAAGUUUCCCCUCACCAACAUGUCUGCUGGCUUUAGGACAAAAAGUUGGGCUGGUUUUCCUCCUAGCGACUUGGAAAUUCUGUCGCAUUUUUCGUGUUUUUAAGUUGGUGGAGAAAACAUGGCAGGCGUUCUCCACACCAGUAGCGUCAACAGCAGUGAGCCCAGAGCACCGGAGAAAUGACUUGUUGCUUUCGCUACCAAAGAGCAUAGGAAGUGUGCAUGCGCCGUUUUGACAGCAAUCAAAAGGUUGGUAUCUGUUUUUCUUUGCAACGCAACGGCUUUUUUUUUGAAGCUACACAUUCAAGAAAAAGAAAUCUUACCUGCUAGCAAGACUCUGCUGUAGGAAAGAUGAAAAAUGGGCAACAGAAACUUGUCGUAUUUAGGCGAAAGGAGAGACGUAUGACCAGCGAUGCACAAAGCAGAUUUUGAAGGCAGGCUGACCACUGAGCCUCAAAGGCGGCCAAACUGCUAUUGAAAGGAUGGUCAGGAGACCUGUCUGGAGAACUAUGGCUACCUGGAUGGAGUAGUCGUUAUGCCUUACACAUCUGUUUUAUUCUGACACACAACUUCCGUGUUCAUGGAAGAACUCUCUGUUCUGAUUUUCUGACAGCCCUCCUUUAUGUUCCUGGGAUAAAAAAAAAAAAAAAGGAAAGCAGAAUUCAAGCAGUUUUCCGGGAAUCUAAUGAACUCGUAUUGGCCUAAACUGAGCAGGGGGCACCAUGCGCAUUUCCCACUGCAAACUGAGGAACGGGACUUGGGUAGCCAAUCCCACGGAUAAACUGAAACGCACUUUUGGAACAUCUUCCCUUCCUGUUUCCUAACCACUCGCCUGCGAUGGAGAGAGAGAAGUCUUUAAAAUCUUUGCUCUCUCGGGAGCCUUCACAGGCGGCUGUACAGUCAUCGUAGGCUUUGAAGAAAUCGGGAGGAGCCAGUUCCGUGCCCGAGAUGGACGUUCGCCAGUUGUCACCGUUGCACGCUCUCACGGCCCUGAGAAAGAGAUCCUGUAAAAUCGGCAGGAAUGAAAAGCAGCAGUAAGUGAUCUGUGGAAAGCUGUGUGCAAAAUCAAAUCCAGUAAAGGAUCUCUCUGCAUUUCCGGAUCCCGUCUGGACAUAGAAGCUGUUAUCCAGUUCAUAUGAGGACAACAACUACAGGUGGCUGAUGGAUUUUACCAGGUAUUUCCGAGAGCGCAGAGGAGGUAAUUCCAUUUCAGCACAACAGAAGAGCCUGCUGGACCAAAGUAACAGCGGGAGCCUAAAGCACAGGUUUUGACAGGGCUUUUUAAUGGAGUCUUAACACCGCAUGUCCGAGUUCUUGUAAGUUGUGCCGCUACAGCACUCGUGCAUUUGAGUAACUCUGUGCACCUGCUUAGCUCCACUAGUUACCUGCAUGUAGUAGCUUUCAGGUAUGCCGCUGUCUGUGAUGUACUGUGACUCAUUUAUGGAACAGUGAAAAGCACGAGAGGUGAGAAUUCCUGAACGCAUCGAGGCGGCAGAACAGAGAUGACUGAGGAAGACAGCAAGAGGGAAAGGAGAGUGAGAACACGUAAGCAACUGAGAUCCUUGAAUCUCACAGAAGAGGAGGAGUAAGAGAACAGUUCCAAAAGACCAGACUCUGAAUAAAAAGCAUACCUCAUCAGGCUUUGUCUCCAAGUCUUUCGUAUGCUCCUGUUGUGGUUUAACCCCAGCCGGCAACUAAGCACCACGCAGCCGCUCGCUCACUCUCACUGCCCCCCCGGUGGGAGGGGGAAGAGCAUUGGAAGAGUAAAAGUGCGAAAAACCCGGGGGGUGAGAGGAAGACAGUUUAGUAGGUAAAGCAAAAGCCGCACGCGCAAGCAAAGCAAAGCAAAGCAAAGCAAGGAAUUGGUUCCCGACUUCCCAUGGGCAGGCAGGUGUUCAGGUGUUUUAUUUUUUUACUUCUGUGUGCAUGCAUUUCUAUUUUUUAUUUUAUAUAGAGACACACACGUAUUUUUAUAAACUACCUGGUAUAUAUACACCUAUUUGGGAAGAGUGAGAGAGAAAGAAAAAGUCUGAAGCACUUGUGAAAUGUUAAAACACAUGCCUAAGUAAACUCAGUGGCUACGAGAAAGCUCCCUCCAGAGGAGCAAGCGGCGGCACAGAAACAUCUACUCCCAGAACGCAAGAUGUAGCCAAAUUGCCCUGGGGAAGCCGCCUGAUAAGAGCUCAGAGCUGGACUGCCAUCUGCUAGGAAAGACUACACAAACAGCGGACACUAAAGGCAAACCCACCAAACUGCACCCCACAAACCUACUGCAAAGGGGAUUGAAAACCAGUGGAAAGGGAGAGGGAGGAGGGAUUUCUCCAGUUUCCCUCUCCCAUUCCUACCUGCCCGUUCCUUAAGUGUCUCCGAAACAGAGCAAUGGAGUCCCCAGACACAGCAGUGUUCAAUUCCAGCCAGCACUUAAAGCCAGAGACGCAAGUUCCUCCCUGAAGCGAUCCCAUGCCAUGAGGACAGCUGGCUUCCAAACACAACUCAUUGCUCAGGGAUAAAUACGUACCUAGUGCAAUCGCCAACUACUUGCGCUUAACGUUUUUUGCUCCAUCUCCUUUCUGCAGGAAGAACCUCGGAGGCAGAAUCUCUCUCCCUGGAGCAAGAGCGCAGUUCAGCCCAGGCAGCGCAAGUCAAUUUGAAUUUUCUUAUCUCAAGAACAGAAUAUUUGUAAGGCGCGCACACGGCCGUGAUGACAUCAUGCAGUAACUCCUACCCUUCCUUCUCGCCACUAGUGCUGGGAAUUGUCCUUUCCUUCCAAGGAGGAAGAGGAAGGACGAGAGCAAGUGCCAAUCACAGCUGAGCACGGACGCUGUCCUCUUGACAGUGGCUUGGGGGUUAUCCUGAUGUCAGGGCUCUGACCCGCUGGGGAAGAAAGCCUCUGUUUCUUGCUUUACCACCUGUGAUUUGACCUUCCCUCCUUACCUGCUGUCCUAGGCACCUGCCUGCUUUGCCCAAGAGUAAAGCCUGGCUUGAGGAACAGCCUGCAAGAGCUAUUUUGUGUCAGCUGUACCGGGGGAUACCAGUUCCCCACUGGGAGAAACUGUGGAGCUGCUCAGGUAUCCACGUAUUUCACCAAAGUUUCCCCUCACCAACAUGUCUGCUGGCUUUAGGACAAAAAGUUGGGCUGGUUUUCCUCCUAGCGACUUGGAAAUUCUGUCGCAUUUUUCGUGUUUUUAAGUUGGUGGAGAAAACAUGGCAGGCGUUCUCCACACCAGUAGCGUCAACAGCAGUGAGCCCAGAGCACC